GAUGAACGCUGGCGGCGUGCCUAAUACAUGCAAGUCGAGCGAACAGAUGAGGAGCUUGCUCCUCUGACGUUAGCGGCGGACGGGUGAGUAACACGUGGAUAACCUACCUAUAAGACUGGGAUAACUUCGGGAAACCGGAGCUAAUACCGGAUAAUAUAUUGAACCGCAUGGUUCAAUAGUGAAAGACGGUUUUGCUGUCACUUAUAGAUGGAUCCGCGCCGCAUUAGCUAGUUGGUAAGGUAACGGCUUACCAAGGCAACGAUGCGUAGCCGACCUGAGAGGGUGAUCGGCCACACUGGAACUGAGACACGGUCCAGACUCCUACGGGAGGCGGCAGUAGGGAAUCUUCCGCAAUGGGCGAAAGCUUGACGGAGCAACGCCGCGUGAGUGAUGAAGGUCUUCGGAUCGUAAAACUCUGUUAUUAGGGAAGAACAAAUGUGUAAGUAACUAUGCACGUCUUGACGGUACCUAAUCAGAAAGCCACGGCUAACUACGUG
rnacentral:rRNA from 1 species